rnacentral:rRNA from 1 species
CCGGAUGCUCCAAUGCGAUGCAUGUCGCGUUGGGAAAGAUUUCAUCGGUAUGGGAUGGGGUCGCGUCCUAUCAGGUAGUCGGCGGGGUAACGGCCCACCGAGCCUACGACGGGUAGCCGGCCUGAGAGGGCGACCGGCCACAUUGGGACUGAGAUACGGCCCAGACUCCUACGGGAGGCAGCAGUGGGGAAUAUUGCACAAUGGGCGCAAGCCUGAUGCAGCGACGCCGCGUGCGGGAUGGAGGCCUUCGGGUUGUAAACCGCUUUUGUCGGGGAGCAAGCCUUCGGGUGAGUGUACCCUUCGAAUAAGCACCGGCUAACUACGUGCCAGCAGCCGCGGUAAUACGUAGGGUGCAAGCGUUAUCCGGAAUUAUUGGGCGUAAAGAGCUCGUAGGCGGUUCGUCGCGUCCGGUGUGAAAGUCCAUCGCUUAACGGUGGAUCUGCGCCGGGUACGGGCGGGCUGGAGUGCGGUAGGGGAGACUGGAAUUCCCGG